rnacentral:rRNA from 1 species
GACGGGCCCGCACAAGCAGCGGAGCGUGUGGUUUAAUUCGAUGUUACACGAAGAACCUUACCAGGGUUUGACAUGCAAGUGGUAGGAAGCCGAAAGGUGACCGACCCUUCGGGGAGCUUGCACAGGUGCUGCAUGGCUGUCGUCAGCUCGUGUCGUGAGAUGUUCGGUUAAGUCCGCUAACGAGCGCAACCCUCGCUGUGUGUUAUAUGUGUCACACGGGACUGCCGGUCUUAAGCCGGAGGAAGGUGGGGAUGAUGUCAAGUCAGCAUGGCCUUUAUAUCCUGGGCUACACACACGCUACAAUGGGCGGUACAAAGGGUCGCAAACCUGUGAAGGGGAGCUAAUCCCAAAAAGCCGUCCUCAGUUCGGAUCGGAGUCUGCAACUCGACUCCGUGAAGUUGGAAUCGCUAGUAAUCGUGGAUCAGCAUGCCACGGUCGAAUACGUUCCCGGGCCUU